AUUGAACGCUGGCGGCGUGCUUUACACAUGCAAGUCGAACGGCAGCGCGGGCUUCGGCCUGGCGGCGAGUGGCGAACGGGUGAGUAAUGCAUCGGAACGUGCCCAGUAGUGGGGGAUAGCCCGGCGAAAGCCGGAUUAAUACCGCAUACGACCUGAGGGUGAAAGCGGGGGACCGAAAGGCCUCGCGCUAUUGGCGCGGCCGAUGUCGGAUUAGCUAGUUGGUGGGGUAAAGGCUUACCAAGGCGACGAUCCGUAGCUGGUCUGAGAGGACGACCAGCCACACUGGGACUGAGACACGGCCCAGACUCCUACGGGAGGCAGCAGUGGGGAAUUUUGGACAAUGGGGGCAACCCUGAUCCAGCCAUGCCGCGUGAGGGAAGAAGGCCUUCGGGUUGUAAACCGCUUUUGUUCGGGAAGAAAUCCUCUGGGCUAAUACCCCGGGGGGAUGACGGUACCGGAAGAAUAAGCACCGGCUAACUACGUG
rnacentral:rRNA from 1 species